UACUCCUUGGAGUAGAUCAAAGUUCCAUGUUAGGCACCUUUAUGCCAAUUUCAGGAAAAAAAUUCCCAAGUAAAAAUUUAAAGAAAUUGAUGUGGAGGGUAGCUGGUUGCACACAUUCAGAAGGUUGGGAGCAAGAAAUCAGGAACAUCAAAGAUGUGAACGAAGAUGCCUUCAAAUACUUGCUGGCAAUUCCACCAAGGUUUUGGCCACGCUCUAGAUUCAUAACCACUGCCCAAUGUGAUACAUUGGUUAACAACAUUUUUGAAGCAUUUAACAGUGUCCUAGUGGAAUCUAGGGGCAGGCCAAUAAUCACAACGUUGGAGGAAAUAAGGUUAUACAUGAUGCACAGAUGGGCUAAAAACAGAAAGAAAGUUGCAUCAUAUGAAAGGAACAUCUGUCCCAAAAUCCUGACAAGAUAUCACUAGGAAACACAAUUGACAAGGCAUUGGAUUCCUAAUUGGUCAGCAGAUAAAAUUUUUGAAGUGAGGCAUGCAUCACAUGUUGGGGACAAGUUUGUGGUGAAUAUUGAUGAAACAUCAUGCACAUGCAGGAAGUGGAGCAUCACUGGGAUACCAUGCUAUCAUGCCCUAGAAGCCAUGAGGUUUCUAAACAAUAAAUGGAGAAGAUUUCAUCUCCAGUUGGUACAAGAAGUCCACGUAUGAAAAAACAUAUGCAUCCAUCAUAUACCCAAUCAAUGGCCAAAAGGUGUGGGAGGUUACACCCUAUCCAGAUAUUUUGCCUCCUCCGAAAAGAGCAUUGCUAGGUAGACCAAAAAAGAAGAGGAGAUUGCAAGAAUGGGAGCUAAGAAAAGAUGAGACACAAAUGAGCAAAGUAGGGUUAUGCAAGAGGUGUCGUAUAUGUAGGGAACUUGGCCAUAACAGGAGACAUUGCCCCCACGCACCAUCACAACAACCAACCCCUACACCUCAACCUUCUACUCAGUCAUCUCAGCCACCAUUACAACAACCAACCCCUAGACCUCAGGUUUCUACUCAGUCAUCCCAGCCACCAUCAUAACAAUCAACCCCUGCACCACAGGCUUGUACUCAGUCAUCCCAGGCACCAUCAUAGCCACAUUCACAAGUUGCACAACCUUCUACUCCAGCAUCACAGCCACAUUCUAAACCAUCACACCAAGGCAUAGCUUAUGGUGCUUCUACUCAAUCAAGUGUGCAAAUUGCUGUAGCACCAAGGGCUUUUGCUCAACAUUCUCAACAAGGAACACGUGGGCAUGGAAGAGUAAUGAUGAGGCCAAAACUAAAUGCAAGAAGGGGACGCAUAUGGAAACUAUGACUGCAUGUGCUUUCCUUAUGAUAAACUUUUGUAGCUUUGGUUUGUAAUUAGCUUUUUGAAAGACAAUUUAGGUACUAUUGGAUUAAUAUAUUUUGUCAUUAUGUGUAAUUGGUUAUUGGGGGACCACUUUUUUGUGCAUUUCAGUUCUGUAGUAGUGGUCCACUUCCUUCACACAUGUUAA